CCUACGGGUGGCAGCAGUGAGGAAUAUUGGUCAAUGGCCGGAAGGCUGAACCAGCCAAGCCGCGUGAAGGACGAAGGUGCCAAGCAUUUUAAACUUCUUUUGUCAAGGGACAAAAUCAGGCUCGAGAGCCUGACCGAGGGGACUUUAAGAAAAAGCAUCGGCUAACUCCGUGCCAUCAGCCGCGGUAAUACGGGGGAUGCGAGCGUUAUCCGGAUUUAUUGGGGUUAAAGGGUGCGUAGGCGGGCUGGUAAGUCAGCGGUAAAAGCCCGGGGCUAAACCCCGGCGAGCCGUUGAAUCUGGCUGGCUUGAGAUGUGGAGAGGUAUGCGGAAUGCGAAGUGUAGCGGUGAAAUGCGUAGAUAUCGCGCAGAACUCCGAUUGCGAAGGCAGCACACCGGCGGCGAUCUGACGCUGAGGUACGAAAGCGUGGGUAGCGAACAGGAUUAGAUACCCUUGUAGUC
rnacentral:rRNA from 1 species